rnacentral:rRNA from 1 species
GACGAACGCUGGCGGCGUGCUUAACACAUGCAAGUCGAACGGAAAGGCCUUUUCGGAGGUACUCGAGUGGCGAACGGGUGAGUAACACGUGGGUGAUCCGCCCUGCACUCUGGGAUAAGCCUGUGAAACUGGGUCUAAUACCGGAUAGGACCGCACUUUAGUGUGUGUGGUGGAAAGGUUUUUCGGUGUAGGAUGAGCCCGCGGGCUAUCAGCUUGUUGGUGGGGUAAUGGCCUACCAAGGCGGCGACGGGUAGCCGGACUGAGAGGUUGGUCGGGCACAUUGGGACUGAGGUAAGGCCCAGAACCCCAAGGGGGGCAGGAGUGGGGAAUAUUGCACAAUGGGCGCAAGCCUGAUGCAGCGAAGCCGCGUGGGGGAUGAAGGCCUUCGGGUUGUAAACUCGUUUCGCCAGGGACGAAGCGUUUUGUGACGGUACCUGGAGAAGAAGCACCGGCUAACUACGUG